rnacentral:rRNA from 1 species
CCCUUCGGGGAGCCUGAACAGGUGCUGCAUGGCUGUCGUCAGCUCGUGUCGUGAGAUGUCCGGUUAAGUCCGGUAACGAGCGCAACCCUUGCCGUAUGUUACAAGUGUCAUACGGGACUGCCGGUAUCAAGCCGGAGGAAGGUGGGGAUGACGUCAAGUCAGCAUGGCCUUUAUAUCCGGGGCUACACACACGCUACAAUGGUCAGUACAAUAGGUUGCAAAGCCGCGAGGUGGAGCCAAUCCAUAAAGCUGGCCUCAGUUCAGAUUGCAGGCUGCAACUCGCCUGCAUGAAGUUGGAGUUGCUAGUAACCGCGCGUCAGCCAUAGUGCGGUGAAUACGUUCCCGGGCCUU